AACGAACGCUGGCGGCAGGCUUAACACAUGCAAGUCGAGCGCCCGCAAGGGGAGCGGCAGACGGGUGAGUAACGCGUGGGAAUCUACCCAUCUCUACGGAAUAACGCAUGGAAACGUGUGCUAAUACCGUAUACGUCCUUCGGGAGAAAGAUUUAUCGGAGAUGGAUGAGCCCGCGUUGGACUAGCUAGUUGGUGGGGUAAAGGCCUACCAAGGCGACGAUCCAUAGCUGGUCUGAGAGGAUGAUCAGCCACACUGGGACUGAGACACGGCCCAGACUCCUACGGGAGGCAGCAGUGGGGAAUAUUGGACAAUGGGCGCAAGCCUGAUCCAGCCAUGCCGCGUGAGUGAUGAAGGCCCUAGGGUUGUAAAGCUCUUUCACCGGUGAAGAUAAUGACGGUAACCGGAGAAGAAGCCCCGGCUAACUUCGUGCCAGCCGCCGCAGUAAUAC
rnacentral:rRNA from 1 species